GCCCUCGUAGCUCAGCGGAAGAGCGGGUGGCUAAUGCUUCCAGGCCGCUGGUUCGACUUCAGCCGGGGGAA
rnacentral:tRNA from 1 species